rnacentral:rRNA from 1 species
UACGUAGGCAGCGAGCGUUGUUCGGAAUUACUGGGCGUAAAGAGUGUGUAGGCGGUGUUCCCAGUCUGUUGUGAAAUCUCCCGGCUUAACUGGGAGGGUGCAGCGGAAACUAGAAUGCUAGAGGGUGGGAGAGGUAAGCGGAAUUCCUGGUGUAGCGGUGAAAUGCGUUAGAUCGGAAGGAACGCCCGUGGCGAAAGCGAGGUCCUGGACGCCUACUGACGCUGAGACGCGAAAGCCAGGGGAGCGAACGGG